rnacentral:rRNA from 1 species
AGCAGCCGCGGUAAUUCCAGCUCCAAUAGCGUAUAUUAAAGUUGUUGCAGUUAAAAAGCUCGUAGUUGAAUUUCGGGAUCAAUAUAUCGGUCAUGCUUAGGUAUGUACUGGUAUUAUUGAUUUCUCCCUUCUGAAGAACCAUGAUGUCAUUAAUUUGGUGUCGUGGGGAAUCAGGACUGUUACUUUGAAAAAAUUAGAGUGUUUAAAGCAGGCAUACGCUUGAAUACAUUAGCAUGGAAUAAUGAAAUAGGACGUUUGAUUCUAUUUUGUUGGUUUCUAGGAUCGACGUAAUGAUUAAUAGGGAUAGUUGGGGGCAUUAGUAUUCAAUUGUCAGAGGUGAAAUUCUUGGAUUUAUUGAAGACUAACUACUGCGAAAGCAUUUGCCAAGGAUGUUUUCAUUAAUCAAGAACGAAAGUUAGGGGAUCGAAGACGAUCAGAUACCGUCGUAGUCUUAACCAUAAACUAU